AACGAACGCUGGCGGCAUGCCUAACACAUGCCAGUCGAACGAGACCUUCGGGUCUAGUGGCGCACGGGUGCGUAACGCGUGGGAACCUGCCCUUAGGUUCGGAAUAACUCCCCGAAAGGGGUGCUAAUACCGGAUAAUGUCUUCGGACCAAAGAUUUAUCGCCUUUGGAUGGGCCCGCGUUGGAUUAGCUAGUUGGUAGGGUAAAAGCCUACCAAGGCGUCGAUCCAUAGCUGGUCUGAGAGGAUGAUCAGCCACACUGGGACUGAGACACGGCCCAGACUCCUACGGGAGGCAGCAGUGGGGAAUAUUGGACAAUGGGCGAAAGCCUGAUCCAGCAAUGCCGCGUGAGUGAUGAAGGCCUUAGGGUUGUAAAGCUCUUUUACCCGGGAUGAUAAUGACAGUACCGGGAGAAUAAGCGCCGGCUAACUCCGUG
rnacentral:rRNA from 1 species